rnacentral:rRNA from 1 species
UACGUAGGCAGCGAGCGUUGUUCGGAGUUACUGGGCGUAAAGGGUGUGUAGGCGGUUGUUUAAGUUUGGUGUGAAAUCUCCCGGCUCAACUGGGAGGGUGCGCCGAAUACUGAAUGACUUCGAGUGCGGGAGAGGAAAGUGGAAUUCCUGGUGUAGCGGUGAAAUGCGUAGAUAUCAGGAGGAACACCGGUGGUGUAGACGGCUUUCUGGGCCGUAACUGACGCUGAGACACGAAAGCGUGGGUAGCAAACAGG